GUGAUCAUAUGUGGAAGUAUGUUUAUCUAGAGGUAUGGUCUUGAAUAGCCGAAACCAAGAAAGAAGAAUUAACAGUGAUAAAAAAUUUAAUAUUAACAAGAACAUAUUAUUUUUAACGAAACCACGGUUCUCAAUAAAAUAUCAACGUGAAAAGAAAAUUAUUAUUUAUAUAAUAAUUGGUGAUAUUGGACAAAUAAGUUUUUUUUUAAAUAAAUUUAAAAUAUACGUAAUAUUAACUGUAUUAUGUUAAAAAUAAUGGGUUCCAUUUUUCCGUUCUAUUACACAAAUAACACAUAUUAUCAUUUGUCGACGAAUCCUUUAGAUCCAUGUUAUUUCAUAGAUUCAUAGAUUAGUACACUACAUAUAAAAAAAAACUACGUGGAACAGCGAUGAAAACAAAACUCCAACCAAGAAGAGAAGUGAUUGCACAAAUUCGAUGCCGUUAUUGUGGCCGGGUGGCAUGGCGGGGUGACGCUGUGGCGGACGGCGGUAACGCAUGUGCAUUAUGUACGGACGCCUGCGCAUAGUCCGAUGCGUCGGCGUUUAUGGCGGCUGCGGGCCGCGGUCUCGUAUCGCU